CAGAUGGCAACACGAAUUCUAGCAGAUGCUAUGGGUCUUGGAAAGAUAGUGGUGGCAUUUUCUCUAAUACUCCCCAAGAGUAGGUAGGGGAAGCACUGGCAAUCAAGAAAACACCAAGGAGAACAAAGAUGCCUGCCCAAACACCCUUUCUAAAGCAAAUGGUGGCUCUCUUAUUGUUUGUCCCGUGGCCUUGCUUGGUCAGUGGAAGGUGAAUUCUCCUCUCAUACUUUCGGGAUAAAGAAGACGAAUUGCAUAUAUCAUCCCUAAUUUUGCCCAUUCUCACUGCUUCGUAUGCAAAUGAUGAUCAAACCACCCUGCAACAAAUAGGAAGGAAAUAUAAAUGCCUUUGGUGCUUCAUUUAAUUAACUGGUGCAAUGGAUAUUAUAUCGUGGAAUGCUGAUAUAUAUUGUAAGCUAUCUUAUUGGCUGUUCUAAGAACCUCAGGAUGAGUUUGAAACCCAUUCAGAGCCUGAGAAUAUUUCCACUUUCGUCCACUGUGUUGGGGACAGGACAAACGACCCUUAGAUUAUAUCUGGAUAUGAUGUCGUCUUAACCACAUAUGGUGUCCUAACAGAAUCUUAUAAACGUGUAAGAAUCUGCUAUCUUUCAUUAACCAAUCAGUUUCAUUUGCAUAAAAAGAGAAUCAAAUUACUAAAUUGCCUGUCUGACUUUUAUUUUUCUUUUCAUUUUAUUUAAAUCUCAAUUAUCUUCUCUUCCAAUCUUCCCACUUGCAUGAAACUUUGUGACAUCUGAUACAGGAUUCCGAGGACAGCAUUUUUUACAAGGUGGAGUGGUGUAGGGUGUUCUUAGAUGAAGCUCAUACCAUUAAAUCUUGGAUGACAACGGGUGCUCAGUCUGCCUUUGCAUUGCCCUCAAACUGUUACUGGUGUCUUACAGGGACGCCUCUUAAGGUCUGUUUACCUGUUCUUUGAUGUGCUUUUUUUGUCCAAAUUGACGGGAUUCAAGAUCGCCGAAGCAAUAUGGUGAACAUCUCUUACUUUAUUUUAGCCAUUUCUUGAAUGCUGACAUUACUUUUUCAUCAAGAAUAACUUGGAAGACCUGUACAGCCGUCUAUGCUUCUUGCAUGUGGAACCUUGGUGCAACUGGGCAUGCUAGGAUAACACAAACACAUCACUUCUUGAUUACUGCAUGGUGUAGAUGACUAGUUGAUGUUUUACAUAGAUAACCCCAUUAUCUUGACUGUUGUAGCCUGUACAAUUAAGCUGUGGAGUUAGUCCUCUGGACACCUUGUUCAUAAUAAGUUUACUUUCGUUUAAGUGGAGCAAAUUGAUUCAGAGGCCUUAUGAAAACGGUGAUCCAAGAGGUCUGAAAUUGAUCAAAGCUAUUUUGAGGCCAUUAAUGUUGAGGAGAACCAGGGAUACAAAGGACAAGGAAGGAAGGCCCAUACUUGUUCUUCCUCCAACUGACUUUCAAAUCACCGAGUGCGAACAGUCAGAAGCUGAACUUGACUUUUACGAUGCCCUUUUCAGAAGAUCAAAAGCACUUGAAUGAAACCAGCUGCUGCUUAUAUAAUGCAAAGAGGUCCAAUUUGAUCAGUUUGUCGCACAAGGGAAGGUCCUUCAUAACUAUGAUUCGAUCCUUGAGCUACCACGAGCGAGGCAGCGUUGCCAUAACCCAUUUCUUGUUAUGUGGAAGGAAGGAUAUAGUUUCAAAUAACAUCAACAACUUGUUAACAAAAAGAAGACUGAUCUUCUGCUGUUCUUUCUAUUUCCUUGUUUCUGAUUUGUCUGAACAUACACAGUCAAACUGAUUCACAGCAGUACGCUGACUUCGGACAAGCUUGCUAGAAGGUUCCUGGAAACAAAUGUUGAUCAUGCCACUCCAAUACAGACAGUCCCAACAAGGGCAUAUAUGGAAGAGGUUAUGGAGGGCAUCUGACGGGCGGAAAAUACCGAGUGCCACAUGUGCUCGGAGCUCGCAGAGAACCCUGUGCUCACACCAUCUGCACAUAGGGUGUGCAGGGAAUGUCUCCUCUCAAGUUGGCGAAUGCCAACAACUGGGCUAUGUCCCAUCUGUCGAACAUUUCUAAAGAAAACUGACCUCAUCACAUGCCCAACAGAGAACAAGUUCCGGGUUGACUUUGGGAAGAACUGGGAGGAGUCUUCAAAGGUUUCAAAGCUCCUGGAAUGCUUGGAACAUAUUCGUAGGUCAGGUUCUGGUGAAAACAACAUUGUUUUUAGUCAGUGAACUUAUUUUUUUGAUCUCUUGGAGAUCACAUUGAGAGGGAGAGGAACUGAGCUCUUAAGGUUAGAUGAAAAACUACAAGAGAAGCAGAGGGAGAGGGUUUUGAAGUUCAGUGAAACCAACGAGAAAACUGUAUGCAGUUUCCAAGAACACGCGUGUCGAGCUUCUUAAACUUUGGUACUUAAACAAUCAUGACGGCUUAGUAGUUCUUAAUGGUCAAUAUUGAAGUAUCUUAACUAUCUUUUGCUUGUUGCUCUGUAAAUUUCAUGAAUUACUUAUUAUGAAUAAAAAAGUAAUUCUGCA